CUGCCUCGCGAAGCGACAACGCCAUCCUUUCUUCGAACGACCGAGACGUUGGUCGACACGUCCUCUCGCCUCUGUUCCCUCCUCGGCCUGGGGUUACUGCGAAUCUGGCGCUGAAGACUGAAGCUGCUAACGUUAUAUUCGAAGCCUCAGAAGACCUUCAAGGAUCCAGUUGACCUCUGAAUCAGCUGUUAAGAAAAUGGGACAGUUAUAUUGCUUCAAUUGGUCUCCUACUUCAUUUGAUUCCACCAUCAUUACAAGGCUGCAAGGGAUCUGGAAAAAAGUCAUACUGUCAAGCUGAAAAACCAUCUUCAAAAAGGCACUAACAAGAACAGCUUGAUUGUAGAGAAGAGUCCACACAGCCAUACACGCUCACUGAUGGGACGAUGAGGAACAUCAUUCAUGGAUGCUACACAACUCAAAUCUACACGUCAUAUUUGUUCAUGUCUAGGUAAAUUUGAUGAUUUUGUGUUUUAUUAACUACUUUGUUUCUGUGCAACACUUAAUGAAUGUGACUGACUAAUUAACCUCUACACAUCUGGUAUAUGCUUUAAAGUUGCCACUUUGCCCAUUUGUUCAAUAAAUGUUGAAAUGUA